rnacentral:lncRNA from 1 species
CAGAAACUGAAUCUGGCAUGUGUUGCAAUCUGAAAUGAUGUGCUUACCCUGCUUGUGCUUAUGGACGACUAUUUUUUUUAGAGGUAAAUUGGAAGCACUAUUGCAGAUUUCAGUUUGCCUAAAAUAAUUUUCUCUGCUGGAUGGAACAGAUUAUUACAAGAUCCUGUGUGUGUGAAUUCCUGGCCUGAUGGAUGCUCCAGACCAUUGCUAAAAAAAAAACAAAAAAAAACCAAAAAACACACACACACUGAAAACAUAAAAAUCUUUUUGGAAAAUACAAGGUAAAAAACUCAUAUCAUAAAAAGCAGUAUUGAUGUUCUAAAUUUAAAUC